GUCCUAGCCGUAAACGGUGCACGUUUGCUGUGAGUGGAAUCGACCCCACUCGUGGCGUAGCCAACGCGUUAAACGUGCCGCCUGGGAAGUACGGUCGCAAGAUUAAAACUCAAAGAAAUUGACGGGGGCCUGCACAAGCGGUGGAGUAUGUGGCUCAAUUCGAUGCAACGCGAAGAACCUUACCUGGCCUUGACAUGUACGUAGUAGAAGGGUGAAAGCCUGACGAGGUAGCAAUACCAGCGUACACAGGUGCUGCAUGGCUGUCGU
rnacentral:rRNA from 1 species